AGCGCGGGAGAAAACGAAGGAAGGAAAGCCCUAUCUAUUGCAGUAUGCAGCCUUGUACUUAUGUAGUGUAGCAGUCAGUCCAUUUGCGUUUAUGAAAAACUGUCUAGCACAGAGGAGGUGCUGAAUACAGAAGACAGAUGGAGAAGAGGACAACAGAGGCCAAGGGUCUGGCCACACAAGCAGAUUCGGGGAGAUUAGUUGCCCCAAUGACAAACCUCCUCUUCU